GCGAGAGUGGCGGAAUUGGUAGACGCACUGGACUUAGAAUCCAGCGGUUAUGCCGUGAGAGUUCAAGUCUCUCCUCUCGCACCA
rnacentral:tRNA from 3 species